rnacentral:rRNA from 1 species
GAUCAUGGCUCAGGAUAAACGCUAGCGGCAGGCCUAACACAUGCAAGUCGAGGGGCAGCGGAAGAGGUAGCUUGCUACUUCUGCCGGCGACCGGCGCACGGGUGCGUAACGCGUAUGCAACCUACCUUUAACAGGGGGAUAAUCCGAAGAAAUUUGGUCUAAUACCCCAUAAUAUUUCAUAAGGCAUCUUAUGGAGUUGAAAGCUCCGGCGGUUAAAGAUGGGCAUGCGUUGUAUUAG